GCCAUCCCUAUUAUCGUCCAAACAAAUCCUAACCGAAGUCGAAACCUGCGUAGUUCACCCUAGGCUUUCCUGCACUCUUGUAUAAAGCAAACUUCCCUCGCUCCUCUUGCUCAGGCGAUUUUCACAAGAAAAUGGCCGUUAAAGUGAAUGUUGUGUACUGUGGUGCCUGAGGGUACGCCCCCAAGUUCCGCAAGUUAAAGGCGGACUUGGAGGCUCGACUAGGUGACAAGAUUGAAGUCACCUACGAGGCCACCCCAAGCACAACUGGCAAAUUCGAAGUCACCUUGGUGGACUCGGGAAAGGUCCUUCACUCCAAGAUCGGAGGAGAUGGAUACGUGGACAACAAUGACAAGUUGGAAAAGAUUGUCAAGGGUAUCGAAGAGGCCCUGAGCGCCUAAUCACCAAGGUGUGCCCAUAUUGAUGGCGGCCUUUCGUAAGUGGAUGCGUUGAUUAGAAUCUUGAACAUGACGCAAAUCUCGAAAUUCCAGAAGGAAAACAGAUUGGGCCGAUGACACCUGCAAAGGACUUUCAAUGGAACCGUUACGCUUGUGCCUUAAAUCAUGAAAUAAAUAUACCUCAAAAAAGUC